GAGGCGUCGAGCGGCGGACGGGUGAUUAACACGUGAGAAUCUGCCCAUUAGUGGGGGAUAACCUGGGGAAACCCAGGCCAAUACCGCAUAAUCCCUACGGGGGAAAGCAGGGGACCUUCGGGCCUUGUGCUGAUGGAUGAGCUCGCGUCGGAUUAGCUUGUUGGUGAGGUAAUGGCUCACCAAGGCGACGAUCCGUAGCUGGUCUUAGAGGAUGAUCAGCCACACCGGGACUGAGACACGGCCCGGACUCCUACGGGAGGCAGCAGUGGGGAAUCUUGGACAAUGGGGGCAACCCUGAUCCAGCCAUGCCGCGUGUGUGAAGAAGGCCUUCGGGUUGUAAAGCACUUUCAGUAGGGAGGAAGGCUUAUCCUUAAUACGGAUGAGUACUUGACGUUACCUACAGAAGAAGCACCGGCUAAUUUCGUGCCAGCAGCCGCGGUAAUACGAAAGGUGCAAGCGUUAAUCGGAAUUACUGGGCGUAAAGCGCGCGUAGGCGGUUUGCUAAGUCAGAUGUGAAAGCCCCGGGCUCAACCUGGGAACUGCAUUUGAAACUGGCAGGCUAGAAUGCAGUAGAGGGAGGUGGAAUUUCCGGUGUAGCGGUGAAAUGCGUAGAGAUCGGAAGGAACACCAGUGGCGAAGGCGGCCUCCUGGACUGACAUUGACGCUGAGGUGCGAAAGCGUGGGG
rnacentral:rRNA from 1 species